rnacentral:rRNA from 1 species
GGCUCUUUGCAUUUAUUUUCAUAAAGAGUCAGGCCUGCCCAGUGAAAUAUUUAACGGCCGCGGUACUCUGACCGUGCAAAGGUAGCAUAAUCAUUUGCCUUAUAAUUGAAGGCUAGUAUGAAUGGUUUAACGAGAGCAAUACUGUCUCCUUUCUAUUUUCAAGAAUUUAACCUUUAGGUGAAGAGGCCUAAAUUUAAUUGAAGGACAAGAAGACCCUGUCGAGCUUAAAAGACAACAUAGAAGUUUAUAUAUUUUUAAAUAAAUCUCCUAUUAAGCUUUUUAGUUGGGGCGACUAAGGAACAAAAAAAGCUUCUUACAGUAAAUAAACAGACGGGUUUUGAUCCGAUAAUGAUCGAUUAAGGAAUUUAGUUACCGCAGGGAUAACAGCAUAAUCUCUCUUGAGAGACCUAAUCGAAAGAGGGGGUUGUGACCUCGAUGUUGGACUAGAAUAUCCUAAAGAUGCAGAAGUCUUUAAGGGUCGGUCUGUUCGACCGUUAAAAUUCU